rnacentral:lncRNA from 1 species
UGCUUCAAUUUGUGUUGCUUUCUUCAAUAUUCUAUGACAGUCUUCUCUCAUCUUCUUAUAUUUAGUAUUUAUAGGUCUUAGAAUGCUCAAAAAAAUCUAAAAAUUGUGUUUUGUAGCAUUUUCGAGGUGCAAUUUGUAAAAUUGACACGGUCUGGCAUAUACCCAUGUGGCUCCUAAAAUCUGCUCCAAUUGUUUGAUUUUCGCUCGUUUUGCUCUCAAAUGCUCUCCUAAAUAUAAAAACAAGAAUUUAAAUGAUUAGAGCAUAAAAUUCACCAUUUUGCAUCAAUUAAUCAUCCAAAAACGCAUUAAGAACGAGAUUAAAACAUGUUACUUUUGGCAUUUAUCAUGAGUAUUCUUGUUAAAAAAAAUCAUAUUGUCGACUUUUUUUUAAAAAAAAAAGUUGAUGGUCAAAUUUGAUUUUUUUUAAAAAAAAUUUGAGAAUCAAAUUUAGCUCAAACAAAGAAUAAAAGGCAAAGUGAUAAAAAAUAUAAAUGCUAAGGACUAAAUUAAUAUUUUGCCUAUAUUAUUCUUAUUUAAUAUUUGCUAUAUAGAUAUACGAUUAGUCUUUGAAAUAUAUAAAAGCAAAUUUAAAAGAUUAAACUAGACACAUAUCACAAUUAAUCCAUAACUUGGUCUCUAACAAUUUUGAACAAAAAUGAAUUAAAGGACAAUUUUACUUGACGAAAUUAGUCUAAUAAAAGGAUGAUUAUAACCUCUAAACAUGGUCAAACGAUUCACACCUUUUUUAAUAGUUGCUUCUUCAUGGAACAAUC